UCUGUUGGAAAUUGACCUGACUUUGGCCACACGUGGGUGGGAUUUGGGACCCAGAGCCACAAGGGCCCUCAGCUCAGCUCCCGCCACUUCAAUAUGGAGAAUGAAACCCAGAUUCUGACCUGA